UACGGGGGGAGCAAGCGUUGUUCGGAAUUACUGGGCGUAAAGGGCGCGUAGGCGGCCUGUUAAGUCGAACGUGAAAUCCCCGGGCUCAACCCGGGAACUGCGUCCGAUACUGGCAGGCUUGAAUCCGGGAGAGGGAUGCGGAAUUCCAGGUGUAGCGGUGAAAUGCGUAGAUAUCUGGAGGAACACCGGUGGCGAAGGCGGCAUCCUGGACCGGUAUUGACGCUGAGGCGCGAAAGCCAGGGGAGCAAACGGG
rnacentral:rRNA from 1 species